rnacentral:rRNA from 1 species
AGUGAACGCUGGCGGUAGGCCUAACACAUGCAAGUCGAACGGCAGCACAGUAAGAGCUUGCUCUUACGGGUGGCGAGUGGCGGACGGGUGAGGAAUACAUCGGAAUCUACUUUUUCGUGGGGGAUAACGUAGGGAAACUUACGCUAAUACCGCAUACGACCUACGGGUGAAAGCAGUGGAUCUUCGGACCUUGCGCGAUUGAAUGAGCCGAUGUCGGAUUAGCUAGUUGGCGGGGUAAACGCCCACCAAGGCGACGAUCCGUAGCUGGUCUGAGAGGAUGGUCAGCCACACUAGAACUGGGACGCGGUCCAGACUCCUACGGGAGGCAGCAGUGGGGAAUAUUGGACAAUGGGCGCAAGCCUGAUCCAGCCAUACCGAGUGGGUGAAGAAGGCCUUCGGGUUGUAAAGCCCUUUUGUUGGGAAAGAAAAGCAGCAGGUUAAUACCCCGCUGUUCUGACGGUACCCAAAGAAUAAGCACCGGCUAACUUCGUG